UCUGACGUCCCAGGGCUCAAGCGCGGAGGACAUGUGGAACUCCACUCCAAAAGCGGCGGCUUGCGGCGGAGCUCUCUCUAGUGAGGCGGCCAGCUGGCGUUCGUGGCACACUUGCUGUCGGCUCCGCUCAUCUGUUGGGAAUGCGUCCUGUGGGCCUAGUCCUCCGCUGGAAGAAACGCGCUGUUCUCCCCAACCACCGUUUAUCAUUCUUAUUCACCGUCUCCGGAAUGUCCAUUCAGUUUCCGCUCCUGAGAGACUUAGUGACUGAGGCCAGGCAAAGAUUUCACCUUGGGGAGGGGGAACGUUAAACCUUUCCUCCAGCAGCUUUCGUGUUUUAAAUUGUAUUCAUCCGCCAUGGAAAGACAUCAGAAGCCCAGGAUCUAAGAGACAGACUGAAAUGAAGAAAGUAGAUAAUAUUGUGAGAAUAAUGAACAAGCUGGUCACUGAACAGCAGAACCGUAAUGGAGUCCCAGUUAAAGGGUUUUAACUUUAUUUCGUCACUUUUUGCAAGCAUGAUACAAAGAAAACAAACACCUAACUACGCUACGGUUUAUAGUUAAAAGGAAGGUGGAAGAUCCUGAGUCAUUACAGCAAUCACAAAACAUGAUGGAUUUCUUCAUUUAAAAACACAAAAGAGGUCUUGGCAUAGUUUUCAAGGGCAAAGCAUGACAAGACUCUCCAGUGCUUUCUUUCAUCCCCCUCUGUGUGCCUUUUUCUGCCUGACUCACAGCCUGGCUCAAUCCUAAUCUUUCUACUGCAAAGAUGCAGCAUUUAAAGCAAUUUUUCCUGUGCAGUAUUUGUAGAAUGACAGAUCCUGCCAGAAGCUCUUGGAAACAUUUUGGAACUAUCUUGCUUUUCUGUAUGUUAUGAUCCAUCUAGCACCGUUUUCCUCCUGUGGUAGCAAAUGACACUUUUUUCAAGCAUCAGCAGCAGAAAUGAGUCUACCAGAUGGAAUAAGAUACUGGUAAAGGGAAAGAUUUGUUUCUAAGACUGCACAAAUGAAUGCACCCAAAUCUGUGAGUUGAUUAAUCUGUGAAGAAAUACAACUGGCAGUAUUUACAUAUCUCAAUGAGUCUCAAAGUGUGGUCGAGGAAGCCCUGGGGGUCCUUGGGACCCUUUCAGAGGUUCCACGAGCUCAAAUCUAUUUUCAUAACCAUGCUAAGUCUUUAUUUCCUUUUCCACUCCAGAGGCUAUAUAAUGUCUGAUGACAUCAUCGCUUUAUAGGAUGAGAGAAUACGUGCUUGUAUAUUCUUGUGUUUGUAAGACUUUCCAGGUUUAAUUUAUUACCAUAUGGCAAUUUUCAAUAAGUAUAACCCACAAAACCCAACAGAUUUUUGGGGCACCUCUAACAAGGGUCCUAAGACCAAAAUGUUUGAGGACUGCUAAUCGAUAUUAUUCAAUUGUCUAGUCCCCUAAACUCCAACCCUUCUUAUCAGGACUACAGAGAGAAAACAGGUGGUCUUCUUGACAAUCGCUUUGUAUUUACAUUCAGUGCUUUAGUAGAAGAGAAGAAAGAAAGAGAAAGCAAGCCAGAGAGGCCUCGGAAAGAGAAGCCUACUUAUUAAAAAUAGCUUUCUGGCUGGUCACGGUGGCUCACUCCUGUAAUCCCAGCACUUUGGGAGGCCGAGACGGGCGGAUCACUUGAGGUCAGGAGUCUCAGACCAGCCAGGCCAACAUGGCGAAAACACGUCUCUACUAAAAAUGCAAAAAUUAGCCGGGCAUAGUGGCAUGCACGCCUGUAGUCCCAGCUACUUGGGAGGCAGAGGCAGGAGAGCCACUUGAACCCAGGAGGCGGAGGUUGCAGUGAGCGGAGAGCGAGACUCGCGAGUACUCGUCUCAAAAAACAAAACAACAAUAACAAAAACAGCUUUCCAUCCCUUCCCUGAGGCUUGGGUACCUGAACCACGUUAAUCUGUAAAUCACUGCUUCUGUAACUUUUCCUUGGUAUAAAUCACAUAGGCAAUGAGGUUGGGUAUAAACAGUAAUUGUCCUUGAAUUGGGUAGAUGUUUUCUUAUUAUUUUUGUCUAAGAGGUCAUUGCGAUAGGCAGAAUUCUAAGAAUGAUCCCCAGUGACGCUUGCCCUUGUAUAACCCCCACCCAUUUGAGUGUGAGGUGAAACCUAUGAAUUUGAUGAGGCAAUACUCCUGUUAUUAUGUUACGUUUUAUGACAGAUGUGAGAUUUUCCAGGUGGGCCCAAUCUAAUCACAACAGCCCUUUAAAAGCAGAGAUUUUCCGUCUGCUAAGAGCAGAAGAGGAAGUCAGAGAGAUUUGAAGGAUGAGAAGAAUUUGACGUGCUGCUGUUGGAGGGGGCUACAUACCAAGAAAUGUGGGCAUCCUAUAGCAACUGAAACUGGCUCCUGGCUGACAGCCAGCAGAGAAUCAGGAUAUCAGUCCCAGAAUCAUAAGGAACUGAAUUCUGCUAAAAACCUAAAUGAGCUUGGAAGUGGGAUUCUUCCGAGAAGAGCCCAGCCGGGUCACCAUCUUAAUUUUGGUCUGCGAAACCGUAAGCAGAGAAUCCACUCAAGCCCACCUGGAUCUACAGAACUGUGAGCUAAGCUGAUGUGGUAAUAUUUUAAAGCCGCUAAAUUUUUGUUCAUUUGUUGUGCAGCAAUAGGAAUCUAACACAAAGGUAAAUAGAAUAUAUUUUUUAAAUCGAGGCAAUAUUCACAUAACAUAAAAUUAACCAUUAAUUAAGUGUACAACCCAGUGGCAUUACUACAUUCAUAAUAUUGUGAAACCAUCACUUCUGUCUAAUUCCAAGACAUUUUCACCACCCUACAGGAAACUGAUACCCAUUAAGCAGUCACUCCCUGUUCCCUCCUCCCCUUAGUCCCUGGCAAACACUAAUAUGCUUUCUGCCUAUGGAUUUGUCUAUUCUGGAGGUUACAUACAAUUUGUGACCUUUUGUGUCUAGCUUCUUUCACUUAGUUUAAUGUUUUAAAGAUUCAUCCACAUUGUAGCAUGUAUCAGUACUUCGUUCCUUUUUAUGGCUAAGUAAUAUGUGUAUAUACAACAUUUUGUUUAUCCAUCAAUUGAUAACAUUUGGAUUAUUUUUACUUUUG
rnacentral:lncRNA from 1 species